GUGCCAGCAGCCGCGGUAAUACGGAAGGUCCGGGCGUUAUCCGGAUUUAUUGGGUUUAAAGGGAGCGCAGGCUGAUGAUUAAGCGUGACGUGAAAUGUAGCCGCUCAACGGCUGAGUUGCGUCGCGAACUGGUUAUCUUGAGUGAGUACGACGUCGGCGGAAUUCGUGGUGUAGCGGUGAAAUGCUUAGAUAUCACGAAGAACCCCGAUUGCGAAGGCAGCUGACGAGUCCUUAACUGACGCUAAAGCUCGAAGGUGCGGGUAUCGAACAGGAUUAGAUACCCUGGUAGUCCGCACGGUAAACGAUGGAUGCCCGCUGUUGGCGAUAUACCGCCAGUGGCCAAGCGAAAGCGUUAAGCAUCCCACCUGGGGAGUACGCCGGCAACGGUGAAACUCAAAGGAAUUGACGGGGGCCCGCACAAGCGGAGGAACAUGUGGUUUAAUUCGAUGAUACGCGAGGAACCUUACCCGGGCUUGAACUGCAGCAGAACGAUCCAGAGAUGGUGAGGCCCUUCGGGGCUGCUGUGGAGGUGCUGCAUGGUUGUCGUCAGCUCGUGCCGUGAGGUGUCGGCUUAAGUGCCAUAACGAGCGCAACCCCUUUCGCCAGUUGCCAUCAGGUGAUGCUGGGCACUCCGGCGACACUGCCACCGUAAGGUGUGAGGAAGGUGGGGAUGACGUCAAAUCAGCACGGCCCUUACGUCCGGGGCUACACACGUGUUACAAUGGGGAGUACAGAGAGUCAGGUGCCGGCAACGUCGCCUUAAUCAUGAAAGCUCUCCUCAGUUCGGAUUGGGGUCUGCAACCCGACCCCAUGAAGCUGGAUUCGCUAGUAAUCGCGCAUCAGCCAUGGCGCGGUGAAUACGUUCCCGGGCCUUGUACACACCGCCCGU
rnacentral:rRNA from 1 species